CCCAGUGUCCCUAUAUGUCCCAGUGUCCACAUGUCUAUGUCCACAACUGUCCCCAUGUCUCCCAGUGUCCCCAAGUGUCUGUCUCCCAGCCAGUGUCCCCUAGUCUCCCAGUGUCUGUGUUCCCAUGUCUGUGUCCCUAGUGUCUUAGUGACCCCAUGUCUCCCAGUGUCUGUGUCCCUAGUGUCUCAGUGUCCCCAUUUCUCCCAGUUUCCCUAAAUGUCUCAAUG